UGGCGGCGUGCUUAACACAUGCAAGUCGAACGGAGAUUUAGCAAUAGAAUCUAGUGGCGAACGGGUGAGUAACGCGUAGGCAAUCUGCCUUCUAGAUGGGGACAACAUCCCGAAAGGGGUGCUAAUACCGAAUGUUGUAACGACUUCGCAUGAAGUUGUUACUAAAGGUGGCCUCUGGAUAUGCUACCGCUAGAAGAUGAGCCUGCGUCUGAUUAGCUAGUUGGAGGGGUAACGGCCCACCAAGGCUUCGAUCAGUAGCCGGUCUGAGAGGAUGAACGGCCACACUGGGACUGAGACACGGCCCAGACUCCUACGGGAGGCAGCAGUGGGGAAUCUUCCGCAAUGGACGAAAGUCUGACGGAGCAACGCCGCGUGAGUGAAAGAAGGUUUUCGGAUCGUAAAGCUCUUUCGUUAGGGACGAACGUGCUCUUUGUGAAUAAUGAGGAGUAAUGACGGUACCUAAAUAAGAAGCCACGGCUAACUACGUGCCAGCAGCUGC
rnacentral:rRNA from 1 species